UACGUAGGGCGCAAGCGUUGUCCGGAUUUAUUGGGCGUAAAGAGCUCGUAGGCGGUUUGUCGCGUCUGCUGUGAAAACCUGAGGCUCAACCUCGGGCUUGCAGUGGGUACGGGCAGGCUAGAGUGCGGUAGGGGUGACUGGAAUUCCUGGUGUAGCGGUGGAAUGCGCAGAUAUCAGGAAGAACACCCGUGGCGAAGGCGGCUCUCUGGGACGGUACUGACGCUGAGACGCGAAAGCGUGGGGAGCGAACAGG
rnacentral:rRNA from 1 species